UACGGAGUUUGUGAGCGUUAAUGGGAAUUACUGGGCGUAAAGCGCGCGUAGGCGGCGGGAUAAGCCGGUUGUGAAAGCCCCGGGCUCAACCUGGGAACGGCAUCCGGAACUGGCAGGCUAGAGUGCAGGAGAGGAAGGUAGAAUUCCCGGUGUAGCGGUGAAAUGCGUAGAGAUCGGGAGGAAUACCAGUGGCGAAGGCGGCCUUCUGGACUGACACUGACGCUGAGGUGCGAAAGCGUGGGUAGCAAACAGG
rnacentral:misc_RNA from 1 species